rnacentral:lncRNA from 1 species
UGGUCCUUCCUCAGACUACGCGGUCCUUCCUUAGAGUGGGUGGUCCUUCCUCAGAGUGGCAGUCCUUCCUCAGAGGCGCGGUCCUUUUACAAGAGUGCGUGGUCCUUCCACAAGAGUGUGCGGUCCUUCCUCAGACUGCACAGUCCUUCCUCAGAGGCGCGGUCCUUCCUCAGAGUGUGUGAUCCUUCCACGAGAGUGCAGGGUGCUUCCUCAGACGCGCAGUCCUUCCACAAGAGUGCGCGGUCCUUCUUCAGGAGUGCGCGGUCCUACCGCAGAGUGCGAGGUCCUUCGUCAGAGAGCGCAGUCUUGCCUCAGACUGGGCGGUCCUUCUACAAGAGUGCGCGGUCCUUCGUCAGAGAACGCAGCCCUGCCUCAGACUGGGCGGUCCUUCCUCAGAGUGCGCGAUCCUUCCACAAGAGUGCGCGGUCCUUCCUCAGAGUGCACGGUCCUACCUCAGAGUGCGCCGUACUUCCACACGAGUGUGCAGCCCUUCCUCAGAGUGCACGGUCCUACCUCAGAGUACGCGGUCUUUCCACAAGAGUGUGCGGUCCUUCUACAAGAGUGCACGGUCCUACCUCAGAGUGUGCAGUCCUUCCACUAGAGUGCGCGGCCCUUCCUCAGACUGUGCAGUCCUUCUACAAGAGUGCACGGUCCUUCCUCAGAGUAUGCGGUCUUUCCACAAGAGUGUGCGGUCCUUCUACAAGAGUGCGUGGUCCUUGCUCAGAGUGCACGGUACUUCCUCAGAGUGCGCGGUACUUUCACAAGAGUGCGCCUCUCUUCCUCAGACUGCGCGGUACUUCCUCAGGGUGUGCAGUACUUCCACAAGUGUGUGGUCCUUCCUCAGAGUGCAGGGUCCUUCCUCAGACUGACCAGUAUUUCCAAAGAGUGCACAGCCCUGGCCGGACGCAAUGGCUCAUGCCUGUAAUCCUAGCACUUUGGGAGGCCGAGACAGGUGGAUCACGAGGUCAGGAGUUCGAGACCAGCCUGGCCAAGAUGGUGAAACCCCGUCUAUACUAA